AUUGAACGCUGGCGGCAGGCUUAACACAUGCAAGUCGAGCGAGCGGCGGACGGGUGAGUAAUGUCUGGGAAACUGCCUGAUGGAGGGGGAUACCUACUGGAAAAGGUCGCUAAUAACGAAUACCAUAAGAUCUGCCACGAUGUGAUUAGCUAGUAGGUGGGGUAAUGGCUCACAUAGGCGACGAUCCCUAGCUGGUCUGAGAGGAUGACCAGCCACACUGGAACUGAGACACGGUCCAGACUCCUACGGGAGGCAGCAGUGGGGAAUAUUGCACAAUGGGCGCAAGCCUGAUGCAUCCAUGCCGCGUGUGUGAAGAAGGCCUUCGGGUUGUAAAGCACUUUCAGCGAGGAGGCGUUACUCGCAGAAGAAGCACCGGCUAACUCCGUGCCAGCAGCCGCGGUAAUAC
rnacentral:rRNA from 1 species